GAUCAUUACACAAUAACAAGGCGGGCUGGACACCCCCAGCCGGGCACUGCUUCACGGCGUGCGCGGCUGGGCCGGCCCUGCUGAAUUAUUCACCCGUGUCUUUUGCGUACUUCUUGUUUCCUGGGUGGGCUCGCCCGCCAUCAGGACCAACCACAAACCUUUUGCAAUAGCAAUCAGCGUCAGUAACAACGUAAUUAAUUACAACUUUCAACAACGGAUCUCUUGGUUCUGGCAUCGAUGAAGAACGCAGCGAAAUGCGAUACGUAGUGUGAAUUGCAGAAUUCAGUGAAUCAUCGAAUCUUUGAACGCACAUUGCGCCCUUUGGUAUUCCAAAGGGCAUGCCUGUUCGAGCGUCAUUUGUACCCUCAAGCUUUGCUUGGUGUUGGGCGUCUUUUGUCUCCAGUUCGCUGGAGACUCGCCUUAAAGUCAUUGGCAGCCGGCCUACUGGUUUCGGAGCGCAGCACAAGUCGCGCUCUUUGCCAGCCAAGGUCAGCGUCCAGCAAGCCUUUUUUUUCAACCUUUGACCUCGGAUCAGGUAGGGAUACCCGCUGAACUUAAGCA
rnacentral:rRNA from 1 species